ensembl:lncRNA
CCAAAGAGAGGGAUCCCAAAAAGAGGGACCCCAAAAUGGGACCCCAAAGAGAGGGACCCCAAAGAGAGGGACCCCAAAGUAGGAUCCCAAAAAGAGGGACCCCAAAAUAGGACCCCAAAAAGAGGGAGACCAAAGAGAGGGACCCCAAAGUGGGACCCCAAAAGUGGGACACCAAAAAGAGGCCCCCCCAAGAAAAAGAGGGACCCCAAAGAGUGGGGCCCCAAAAGUGGGACCCCAAAAGUGGGACCCCCCAAAGAGAGGGACCCCAAAGUAGGACCCCAAAAUGGGAACCCAAAGAGAGGGACCCCAAAGUGGGACCCCAAAAGUGGGACACCAAAAAGAUGGACCCCCCCAAAAAAGAGGGAGACCAAAGAGAGGGACCCCAAAAAGUGGGACCCCAAACAGAGGGACCCCAAAAGUGGAACCCAAAGAGUGGAACCCCCCCAAAAAAGAGGGACCCCAAAGAGAGGGACCCCAAAAGUGGGACCUCAAAAGUGGGACCUCAAAGAGAGGGACCCCAAAAGUGGGACCUCAAAAGUGG